GCGUCAGUAGUGUAACUGAUAGAGCACGAGCUACUGAAAACAGUGAGGUGCUGGUUCUAGUCCCGCCUGACGCG